rnacentral:rRNA from 1 species
CAGCAGCCGCGGUAAUACAGAGGGUGCAAGCGUUAAUCGGAUUUACUGGGCGUAAAGGGCGCGUAGGUGGUUAUUUAAGUGAGAUGUGAAAGCCCCGGGCUUAACCUGGGAACUGCAUCUUAUACUGGGUAACUGGAGUGCAGUAGAGGGUAGUGGAAUUUCCGGUGUAGCGGUGAAAUGCGUAGAGAUCUGGAGGAAUACCGGUGGCGAAGGCGGCCCCCUGGACAAAGACUGACGCUCAGGUGCGAAAGCGUGGGGAGCAAACAGGAUUAGAUACCCGAGUAGUCCCUGUCUCUUAUAC